rnacentral:piRNA from 1 species
UGGUUCACCUAUUUUCCACAGCCUC